GGGGGGGGGGGGGGGGGGGGUUAGGGGGGGCGGGUCGAGCGGUGAGGGGCGGGGGGGGGGGGACGCGUGGGGAACGGGGGAGUAAGACGUGGGUGAGCGGCCCGGCACGGUGGGAUGGGCCUGGGAAAGUGGGUGGGAUACCGGAUAGGACUACGCGACGCAUGGCGUGUGGUGGAAGGCUUGUGCGGUGGGGGAUGGGCGCGCGGCCUAUCAGCUUGUUGGUGGGGUGAUGGCCUACCAAGGCGACGACGGGUAGCCGGCCUGAGAGGGUGUCCGGCCACACUGGGACUGAGAUACGGCCCAGACUCCUACGGGAGGCAGCAGUGGGGAAUAUUGCACAAUGGGCGCAAGCCUGAUGCAGCGACGCCGCGUGGGGGAUGACGGCCUUCGGGUUGUAAACCCCUUUCAGCACAGACGAAGCGUAAGUGACGGUAUGUGCAGAAGAAGCACCGGCCAACUACGUG
rnacentral:rRNA from 1 species